GCCUGGAGGCGCGGACCAGGGCAGCAGCCCUCCUGAACGCCUCCCUCAGGAGGACCCUCCCUGGGGCCUGGAGGGGAAGAGGUUGGCUGAGACACGUGGGCAUCGUGGGAGACCUGAUAUGACUCAUGUGGCUUCUGACACAAUAAAUCCUCAACUGCAAAGCAAGAUGGGGUAAGGCCUCUGGAAGGCUCUGGAAUGCUUCUGGAGUUCCCCUCACCUGCGAUGUCACAGAGUUCCGCAUCUGAGGCGUUGGCCAAGGCCUCCUCCAGCUCUGGCUCCAGCGUCACGCUUUCCAGCACAGGGUCCACUGGCUUCUGCUUGGGGACCCAGAUCUUUCCUGUAAACACACAGGGUGGCUGUUAAGAUUUUACUUCAAUCAACCCUGAUCACUGGGCUAUUGAGGAAGCACAGCGUGGAGAUGAGGGGCUGGUGCAAUCGUCCCCGCUGAGAGACCAUGGUGAUCUGAACCAGAAGCACGG